rnacentral:misc_RNA from 1 species
AGGGAGAUGAAGCUGACGAAGGGGUAAAUGCUUUUCCGUAAUUACAAUCUAUAAAUACCAUUAUAUGUCUAUGGUGUUUUAUUCCAUCUUUAGUUCUGGGCUUCUUUCAUACUGAUUUUCAAUGAACAGAAAUGAUUAUUUUGCCAUACAUUUAAUUUCUAGGUUGUCAUUGCUUGCCAUGUUCUAUUUAUAAGUGGCUAUAUGGUAGGCAGAGUUAUGAAGUUUGAAUAUUAAUAAAAAAUUUGAAGAAACAUGCUUGUAAUGUGGAAGAAUGAAUUGAAUCAAAUGUAAAAUUUCUUGAUAAGAAAUGGAAAAAUAGAAUAGAUUUCUGUAUUUAUCAUUGGUAGAAAGUGUACGCCUUACAUAAAGCAUGUACAUAAUUAGAUCAUCUAGGCUAUUCAUUUCUGCUUCCUGUGGCGUAACCCCCUUCAAAUGCUUUUCACUUUAUAGUUUUUUAUAAUCACACUUAAAAUACUACUUGAUUUGCAAAAUUUUGUAUGGCUUUUUGAGAAAAUAGGAAAUAGAAGUGUCUUUAUUGCCGCAUUUUUCGUUCACCAAGUUCUGUAGGAUGUCUCUUCUGAUAUUGACUCCAAGGGAUGACAACAAAGCACAUAUUUAGUAGUAAACUACUCUAAACUGUUUCAAUGAUUACUAGUAUCCUUGGUGGGUCUAAUGCAUUUAAAAGGGAAGUUUGGUUUGAGCUAUUGUCAAUGCUUAUUGUAAUAAUAGAAAGACUUUGUAUGAACUCUUUUUACUUGAGAGGAAUGCUGAAAAUUUCACGGUACCUUCUUUUUGGUGGAUUAUAGGAAGAUGAAAAUUCUUGUGUUGAUUUAUUUGUCAUGGACCUAUAAAAUUUUAUGCUCAACUGGAUGCUUUCCAGUAAUCCUUAAAUAUUGAUGGCUUUGUUCAUAAUAUUGCAAUAGCUGCCUCCGCUGUAAUAGUUGAGCUUGAGGAUACAUUGGAUUUGUAAGGUGUGGUUAUUAUUAUGAAAGCUGGUUUUUAGCAAGCCUUCUUGAAAGUGCAAAAGUGAUAGGUUUUGUACAGUGGCAAUUGGUUAUGAAUAUGAUGCCUUACAAUUAGGUUGCUAUACCAUCCCUACAUGAAGCAAGGUUGAUGCCAGGAUUACAGAUAUUAAUGCAAUCCAUGGCAUGAGGAAUGGUAAUAAAGUUUUGUGGAGGCCUUGUCAAAGUGUUCUUUUAUGUAACCCAUCUGUUUUGAUAAAUAUGAUGGUCGAUGCUGUGGAAGUCUGUGAAAUUGGGUUUAAGUAACUAUGGUUGCCCUCACUUCUUGUGCAUCUCAAACCUUAGUGUGGUGAGUAAAUUUAGGAAGUUAUAAAAUUGAGAAGUGAGCAAUAAGGUUAUCAAACACCACUUCAUUUAGCCUAUUAUUAAGAUGUAUGAGCUAGUGGAUUUUUGUUGAUUGCACAUGAUACAUGUGUACUGAUGUGGGCUUUUAACAUAAUUGUGAAAUUGAAUAAUUUUGCUCAUGUAAAUCACAAUUUGUGAGAGUUAAAAAGCCAGGAAAAAUGUAGUUCAACUGAUUUCUUAUUUUGGGGGUUUUGCCUCAUGGCAGGACAAGGAUGGUGAUGAAUCUGA